rnacentral:rRNA from 1 species
GAGUUUGAUCCUGGCUCAGGAUUAACGCUGGCAGAAUGCCUAACACAUGCAAGUCGAACGGAUCUUGCUGAUUGAAGUGGAGUAGCUUGCUACAAAGCGGAUUGAAGCGCUGAUUAGUGGCGAACGGGCGAGUAACGCGUAUUCAAUCUCCCUCCGAGUUGAGGAAAACUAUAGAGAUAUAGCUAAUCCUCAAUGGUCUCAUAUGAAUGAAAAUAGUAUGAGUAAAGGUUUACCGCUUGGAGAAGAGGAUGCGUCCUAUCAGGUAGUUGGCGGGAUAAAAGCCCACCAAGCCUAUGACGGGUAGCCGGUCUGAGAGGAUGGUCGGCCGCAAUGGGACUGAGACACGGCCCAUACCCCUACGGGGGGCAGCAGUGGGGAAUCUUGGACAAUGGGGGAAACCCUGAUCCAGCAAUUCUGCGUGCGGGAUGAAGGUCUAUGGAUUGUAAACCGCUUUUCUGAAGGAAGACGAAUGACGGUACUUCAGGAAUAAGCGACGGCUAACUUCGUGCCAGCAGCCGCGGUAAUACGAAGGUCGCAAGCGUUAUCCGGAGUUACUGGGCGUAAAGAGUUCGUAGCUGGUCUAGUAAGUCUGAUUUUAAAGACUCUGUCUCAAGCAGAGGAAGGGGUCAGAUACUGCUAUUCUGGAGAUAACUGGGGGUUAGUGGAAUUACCGGUGGAGGGGUGAAAUCCGUUGAUAUCGGUAGGAACGCCAAAAGCGAAAGCAACUAACUAUGGUUUUCUGACAGUCAAGAACGAAAGCUCGGGGAUCAAACGGGAUUAGAUACCCCGGUAGUCCGAGCCGUAAAUUAUGUCUGCUAAGUGUUUGGGUUUAUACCCCCAAGUGCUGUUACCUAACGGGUUAAGCAGAUCGCCUGGGUAGUAUACUCGUCAAGAGUGAGACUCAAAGGGAUAGGCGGGGGACCC